UACGUAGACCUCAAGCGUUAUCCGGAUUUAUUGGGCGUAAAGAGCAUGUAGGAGGCCUGAUGCGUCUCUGGUUAAAGCCCACUGCCUAACAGUGGAAUCGCCAGGGAAACGGUCGGGCUGGAGGAGAUAAGAGGCUGACGGAGCGCACGGUGUAGGGGUGAAAUCCGUUGAUAUCGUGCGAAACACCAAAGGCGAAGGCAGUCAGCUGGGAUCUUCCUGACUCUGAGAUGCGAAAGCGUGGGGAGCAAAAAGG
rnacentral:rRNA from 1 species